CACUGCCCCUCCCCCUCGCAGAAUAAACAGUUAGGAAGUGAAAGUGAAAGUCAGUCUCCAUUUUGUGUUGAGGGGAAAAUACAGCAUUUCAGGAGUAAAAACACAGGUUUGAUUUAACACACCGAUGUUGGAGUGAAGUAAACGUGUGUCCUGCUGUAAUCUGGAGAAGGAGACAUGACCUCCAACAUGAGUGUGUCUGGAGAACAGGACUUAAAGAGAGACGAGAGAAUGAUGGAGGGAAAGAGAUCAGACUCACCAGAACCCAGCUGUGUGUCCAUGAAGAGUGACCGGUCAAUGCAUCAUCCAGUUAACUUCAGAGACGGAGCCAGUUCUCCUGAUGUGCGACCACAACAGAAGAAAUCAAACCUCAGCAGAAAUCAGCUGGACUCCAUAUUCAAGGAGCUGGAACACAAAGUCAUCACUCUGAUAAAGAAUGAGCUGAAGAGGUUUAGGAAGCUCCUGAGUCCAGAUUACCCAGCAUGCACUGAGAGGGAGGUGCAGGAUGAGGAGGAUCUGCACAGUGUCAGAGAGGGAGCGCUGAAGAUCACACUGCACGUCCUGAAGAACAUGAACCACACAGAUCUCGCUCACACACUGCACAACAAACUCGCCUCUGUGUAUCAGACAAAGCUGAAAUCCAGCCUGAGAGAGAAGUUUAAAAGAAUUAAUGAAGGAAUCUCACAGCAUGGAAGCUCAGCACUUCUGAAUGAGAUCUACACAGAGCUCUACAUCACAGAGGGUUGGAGUGGAGACGUCAAUAAUGAACAUGAGGUGAGACAGAUUGAGACAGCGUCCAGGAGACCAGCAACACAGGAGAAACCCAUCAAAUGUAAUGAUCUCUUUAAAGACAAGUCCAUCAGAAGUGUGCUGACUAAAGGAGUUGCUGGAAUUGGAAAAACAGUCUCUGUGCAGAAGGUCAUUCUGGACUGGACUGAAGGAAAAGCAAAUCAGGACGUCACCUUCAUGUUUCCACUUCCCUUUAGAGAGCUGAAUCUGAUGAAGCAGGAACAUCUCAGUCUGAUGGAUCUUCUUCAUCACUUUUUCCCUGAAAUAAGAAAACUACAAUUAGUAGACUCCUACAAAGUGGUGUUGAUCUUUGAUGGUCUGGAUGAGUGUCGACUUCCUCUAAAGUUCCAGAAGAAUGAGAGACUGUGUGAUGUGACAGAGUCAGCCUCAGUGGAUGUGCUGCUGACGAACCUCAUCAAGGGGAAUCUGUUUCCCUCUGCUCUCCUCUGGAUCACCUCUCGACCAGGAGCAGCCAAUCAGAUCCCUCCUGAGUGUGUAGACCAGGUAACAGAGGUACGAGGGUUCAGUGAUCCUCAGAAAGAGGAGUACUUCAGGAAGAGGAUCAGAGAUCAGAGCCUGGCCAAUAAAAUCAUCUCACACAUGAAGUCUUCAAGAAGCCUCUACAUCAUGUGCCACAUCCCAGUCUUCUGCUGGAUCUCAGCCACUGUUCUAGAGAGAAUGUUGGGUGAAGCAGAGAGUGGAGAGAUCCCCAAGACUCUGACUCAAAUGUUCACACACUUCCUGAUCUUUCAGAUCAAACACAAGGACCAAAAGUACCAUCAGAAAUGUGACCCUGAUCCUCAGCAGACCAGAGAGAGUAUCCUGGCACUGGGAAAACUGGCUUUCCAACAGCUGGAGAAAGGAAACCUGAUCUUCUAUGAGGAAGACCUGAGAGAGUGUGGCAUUGAUGUGAGAGAAGUGUCAGUGUACUCAGGAGUGUGUACCCAAAUCUUCAGAGAGGAGUUUGGGCUUCACCUGGGGAAGGUGUUCAGCUUUGUACAUCUGAGUGUUCAGGAGUUUCUGGCUGCUUUAUAUGCAUUUCUCUCCUUCAUCAGCAGAAAUGUAACAGAACAACCAACCACUGAUCUGUCUGAUCUUCUCAACAAGUCAGACAUGUCUGAUCUCCUCAGGAGUGCAGUGGACAAGGCCUUACAGAGUGAGAACGGACACCUGGACCUGUUCCUCCGCUUCCUUCUGGGUCUCUCACUGGAGUCCAAUCAGACUCUCUUACGAGACUUAAUGCCCCAGACAGGAAGCAGCUCUCACAGCAAACAGGAAACAGUCAAGUACAUCAAGGAGAAGAUCAGGGAGAAUCCAUCUCCAGAGAAAUCCAUCAAUCUGUUCCACUGUCUGAAUGAACUGAAUGAUCAUUCUCUAGUGCAGGAAGUACAGUCUUACCUGAACAGAGAAGGUCACAGUCGUCUCAGUGGAACCAGACUCUCUCCUGCUCAGUGGUCAGCUCUGGUGUUUGUGUUACUGAACUCAGAUCAGGAGCUGGAUGAGUUUAAUUUGAGUAAAUAUGACCCAUCAGACGAAUGUCUUCUGAAGCUGCUGCCAGUGGUCAAAGCCUCCAGAAGAGCUGAGCUGUGGGGGUGUAAUCUCACAGAGGAAAGCUGUAGAGUUCUGUCCUCAGUUCUCAGAUCAAACUCCUCCAGACUGAGAGAACUGAACCUGAGUGACAAUAACCUGCAGGAUUCAGGAGUGAAGCUGCUCUCUGCUGGACUGGAGAAUCCACACUGUACACUGGAGAUACUGAGGAUGGUUCCUACUAGGUCUGCUAAUGGGACCGCCCUCCUGACUGGCUGCCUAUAAAGUCACCCGCUCUAGCGGUGCUGAGCAGCGAGAUGUCACAGAGAAGAGUGUGUCCAGUUUGUCGGCGUUUCUACACCAACGUGCAGGCUCAUCUCGCCCAGAUUCAUCAGCAGGGUCCAGAGGAACGCUGGCUUCACCUGGCGGCAGCGAGCGAGCGGGUGAUAUGCGGGUGCUCUGGACUGCCCGGUGUCUGCAUGUGGCAAGAAAGGUUUCCGCCGGCUAGACUGCCACCUGUUCCACCUUCACCAGCUCGCCGGGGACACGGUCAGGAAGCUACUGCUCAGCGCCAAAAUAAAGCUGCAACAACUGCAAGCUUUCGGUGAGACGAACAAAUCUAAAAGUUGCAAAUGUUCUGAACUGAUCGAAAAGUAGCAAAACUCUCCGCAGAAUUUGAGCGGCUGCAAGCGCUAGUAGCCCGGAAAGAGUAGUGGCUCUGUGGAGCCAAUGUUAAGUGUACACGGCUUGGCUGACAAGUCUCAGAGAUGUCCCCAAAGCCGCGGCCAACGGCAAGCAGGAGAGGAGACACGUCGAGCGCUUCCUUCACUUUAUGUGGGCCAACACAGACAGUCCCCUGGCAGCUGCUGGCUCAUUACCCAAAAACUGCACUAAUACAAAAUGUCCCAGUGAGGCCUUCCACACCCAUCAAAAUAUUGCCAUCUCACUGUUUGACAGAAAAAAAAUAUAACAAUGAUGCUUUAGAAUUAGAUAAAUUAAGUUUCUGCAAGAUAUGAAUCGAACUAUUCAUUUAGAACUCAAAAAGUACAUUAAUGGCUUUAGUAAUGACCACUGUGUAUCCCAUGUAGCACACUAACCCUAAUGUGCAUGACCGCAUGUACUAUGUUGCAAUAAUAAUAAUAAUAAAAUGUAUUAUUAUUAUCACCAAAUAAUCACUUCACUGGACAGGAGCGCCGUCUUUAUUGAUAAACAAACUAACAAAACACAAGAAACGCGGUCUAUGCUGAACAGGACUAGCUGGAUCAACCAUGGAACUACAGUCUAGGCAUUACUCGAAAACAGAACAUGGAACUGAGACCGCUAGCAUGCUACACGCAUUCUAACACAGUGCUAAAGCUAUACUCCUUAAACACUACUAACGUUACAAACUAUAAUACUGCGCGAAGUGCGCAGCCACACGAGG